ensembl:snRNA U1 U1 spliceosomal RNA
AUACUUACCUGGCAGGGGAAGCAGCGUGACCACGUAGGCGAGCUCCCCAGGGCGAGGCCUGCCCCUUGCACUCUGGGCAUGCUGACCCCUGCGAUUUCCCCAAACGCGGGAAACUCGACUGCAUAAUUUGUGGUAGUGGGGGACUGCGUGCGCGCUUUCCCCCG